rnacentral:misc_RNA from 1 species
AGCUUCCUCUCCCCAUUGAAACAGUAUCACCUGCAGCAGUAGCAAGUUGAUUAAGGAACCUCGCCGGUGAGCUACUAUGUCGAACCAACGGCGUCGUUGAAGUCGUCGGCAAAACUCCUCCUCCAGCGCCGCUUCCGCCGCCGAUUGUUAAGUCAUUGAAACCAAUUGACCUCUGUAAAUUCGAUUGUUCCUUCGCUUUACUUGUAGAUUCGGAAUUUAACGAAGUAGAUGCUAGAUUGGACUGAAAAAAACCGUGAAGGACCAAGGUGUGAGUGAUGAGAUCCGUGAGAAGCGAACUCGUGAUUACCGUUAACGACGGCUUCAACUGCUGUAGUUAAAAAUGAUCCCGGAGCUGAACCGUAGCGAGUGAGACCACCGCCGGCGCCGCCAGCGGUGGUGCUGGUGUGGCU